rnacentral:lncRNA from 1 species
GGAAAAAAACCCCAACAAACAAACCUAGACAACCACACGGCCUUACUGCGGGUUUUUUACACCUUUAUUUCCUAUCUGCCCUUGUGCUCUGCUGUAUUUCCCCAGAGCGGCCAUCGGGACCGAGUACAGCCUGCAAACCCACCACUGGGGCUUGAAGGAGCUCUAAAGAUCCUGCUCUUCCCAGGAAGCUGAGAUCCACGAGCUGCAGAAGAGUUCCCAAAUCAGCUGAGACGUUAUACUGGGCAUCAUGAACGUCAAUGAUUUUGUAAUUCUCCCAGGCUCAAAAUCUGGAACCUCAGUGAGAUUAAAAACAAAGUAAGUGCAUUCCAUCUGAUUGGGAUUGAGAUGGGUUUUCAUAAUUUUUAAUAGGUUUUAAUGUAACAUUAAGU